rnacentral:rRNA from 1 species
AUUGAACGCUGGCGGCAGGCCUAACACAUGCAAGUCGAGCGGAUGACGGGAGCUUGCUCCUUGAUUCAGCGGCGGACGGGUGAGUAAUGCCUAGGAAUCUGCCUGGUAGUGGGGGACAACGUUUCGAAAGGAACGCUAAUACCGCAUACGUCCUACGGGAGAAAGCAGGGGACCUUCGGGCCUUGCGCUAUCAGAUGAGCCUAGGUCGGAUUAGCUAGUUGGUGGGGUAAUGGCUCACCAAGGCGACGAUCCGUAACUGGUCUGAGAGGAUGAUCAGUCACACUGGAACUGAGACACGGUCCAGACUCCUACGGGAGGCAGCAGUGGGGAAUAUUGGACAAUGGGCGAAGGCCUGAUCCAGCCAUGCCGCGUGUGUGAAGAAGGUCUUCGGAUUGUAAAGCACUUUAAGUUGGGAGGAAGGGCAGUAAGUUAAUACCUUGCUGUUUUGACGUUACCGACAGAAAAAACACCGGCUAACUCUGUGCCAGCAGCCGCAGUAAAAC